GAACAUCCCUUGUUUUAUGAGUGCAGUUUAAAAUUUGAAGGCUAUAAAAUUAAAUUUUGUGUGAAUUGAAAAACAAAUUAUGUGUGAAUUGAUUAUUCAAAUUUAACACUGGUUAUAGGUUGAGAACUACAAUGUAACAAACAGUAAAGUUUUUGAUUUUUUAAUAUUAAUGGAACGUUAUAUUACAUUUGAUAUUUUUAAGUUAAUUUAAUCUUUCUAUAAAAUUAUUGAGUAUACUUUUCGUUUUUGCAGUUCACAUUUGCUCAUGACACUGUCCGUGUUCUAGAGAGUGUUUUUAAACUGGGAGCUGAUACUCAUCGUGCUUUGCUUCUCGAUGAGCUUAAAGAUGAUUUCCUUCCAUUGGCUAAGUCUAAGUAUGGGAAAUUUCUGCUAAUUAAUGUCCUGAGA